rnacentral:rRNA from 1 species
AACGAACGCUGGCGGCAGGCUUAACACAUGCAAGUCGAGCGCCCCGCAAGGGGAGCGGCAGACGGGUGAGUAACGCGCGGGAUCGUACCUUUUGGUUCGGCACAACUUCGGGAUACUGGAGACAACACCGGAUAAGCCCUAACGGGGAAAGAGUUAUCGCCGAAAGAUCUGCCCGCGUCUGAUUAGCUAGUUGGUGAGGUAACCGCUCACCAAGGCGACGAUAAGUAGCUGUACUGAGUGGAUGAUCGGACACACGGGGACUAAGCCACAGCCCAGACUCCUACGGAGGGCAGCAGUGGGGAAUAUAGGACAAUGGGCGCAGACCUGGACCAGCCCUGCCGCGGGAGUGAUGAAGGCCUUAGGGAUGUAAAGCUCUUUUGUCCGGGAAGAUAAUGACUGUACCGGAAGAAUAAGCCCCGGCUAACUUCGUG